ensembl:lncRNA
AAAAAUUCUUUCUUUCCAUGACUCUGAUAUAUGCUGUUUUGAAGCUGCUUUGAUAUCUGAUAUUUAUUACCUUAAUCUCAUUUGUGCCUUAGCAUUACUGGCUGUAAUGGCUCCAUCCUUGCCUGAUGUUAGAUGUUUAAAUGCUGUGGUCCUGAACAGUGCUGGAAUAGAAGACCACUUUGGGAUAAAAGGAACUUUCUGCCACCAGAAACCCAGAAUUAUCACAUUAGGACCACCCUGGCUGGCUUCUCUGUGGAGUUCUAACUUCAAGGAAGUAGUACGGACACAGAAAGUUAUGUUUAAAUUGAAAAGACUAUAUAGGUUUGUACUGGAGGUUUUGUUUAUUUCAGUUUUAUUCAAUAUUUAUUCACUUCUAUUUUGUUUCUCUUAUUCAGUUUUAAUAGAGCAGUCAUUAUAAAUUAAUGAAGUAUCAUAUAGACUUUAUUCCUACUGUUAGAAAACCAUUAUCUCCCAUUUGCAGAGCGAAAAAUCAGUUUGUCCUGAGGAUAAAGCAACUUUCCAAGGUCCGAAUGUUAGGAAAGGUAUCCAAGAUCUUUGAACCUCCAGUGUGCUGUGAUAGCCACAAGCCUGCUCUUUCUGGCAAGGCCUGACACAGUCAUCAGAGCUGGAAAUCUGCCUUUUCUCCUAUUUUUUUUUUCUGUGGGCAGGGCAACCCACAAGAGUGACCAGGCAUGAAAUUCCUAGGCAGUUCUAGGUUUGGAUCCUUAAACUACCCUCAACUAAGUUUCACAAUUUUGAUUCAAGCACUUAUUACAGGGUUAUUUAUACUUAGACAAUGAAAUCUGAAUAUGUACCAGCUGAGCCUUUGAACUGUAUCCCUUCUUCUUAGUGGUCUAGUCAACUUUCCACAGUAAAUAUGUUAGGUACAGUGAUCACUGAUAGAAUGGGUUCAGCCAAUUCCACAUGGAAAAUGUGGAGCCAUCUAGAAGUGUAACACUUUGAACUUCAGCAGGACACAUCUUUGGAAAUGGGCUUUAUUCCUAGCUAUGAUGACAAGUCUGUGUUUCAAGUGGUAAAAAUAGUGGUUUCAGGUCCUCAGGCCGAAUUUUCAAGGUCCGAUAUCUAUACAGGCAGCUGAACAAAUGGUCUCAGAGAAAACAUGCGCAGAGAGGGCAUGUAAGAAGAAAAAUUUUCUUCAGUUUACUCCUACUUGUGUUUGUUUUCUCUACUCAUAUGGCUCUAGAAACCUUCUCUCCAUGUCUCCAUCUUGUCAGGAUAUAAGUUUAUGUUCUGAAAGUCUGCCAAAAUGCUUUGAUGUGCCGUUGGGGUCUUGCAAGAUGGUCAGCUCUGCAAAAGAAGCCAUAUUUUGGAUGCAUCUCCAUCCCACAUCUCCAGACUGCUUCAUCCAAAUGCAGAUCCCACAUUGCUUGGUCUGUACUUGAGCUUUUAGCAGUGCUACAGCAUACCCAGCUGUGCUCUUCAGAUUAACCAAACAUGCAAGGGGAGUAUACCUGGAGGGUCAUCCAGGUGACAUCCAUUGUCAAAACGCUGGAGUUUUCCCCGAUACCUUGUCCCUAUAGAUUAGCCAGCACAGAUCAGGUGCUCUGGGAAGCCAGGAGGUUAGACAAAAGACUCACAGUUUGGAAAACUUAUUGGAUUCAUCUGCAUUGCUGUGAAUACUGCCUGUUUCAAGGUAUCUGGUAAAUAUUUUUUGUCAUUGUAAAUAAGGAUCUGCAAGAAGAAAAGGAAAAUGACAAACAAAAGGGAGCCUCAUCCAAAAGGAGGUGGCCAUAUCCUGCCCUUCCAAUUUCCUCACAGGAAAAUUGUGAUGGCUCUCUUUUGUGAAGAGAUUCUUUGAAACUUCACAUACAAAAUCUGAUGGUUUCCUUACAGUAUUGUUCAUACAAUGAUCAUCUGGAAAUGCUCUAAAGUUUAAGUUGUGCCCCCCAAAAAAACACCAACCAGGCUUUUUUCUCAAAUGUGUCUUUUGAUAUAAGAAAGCAACCAUUACCACUAGCAGAAAAGCAAUUCAGUUAGAUGGUAGCUAUUUGAAAACAAAGUUUUGCUCCAAGCUUUUUCUGGACAAAAUCAGAUCAUACACACAGGAAUCCUUAUACCUGGCACAGCUUUCCCACACAGAGAAUUCAAAGUCUUUAUAGAGGAUACAGCUACUGGACUUGUCCAAGCUGAAAAUUAAUCCCAGUCCUUCUGUGAGCCAGACCACCAAGCAAUCUGCUGUCCUUCAUCUGCAAGAGGGAAGAAAGUGAGGAAAUAGUAAUUUUCCUUCUGUCACAUUCAAGAGCUAAGUUUUGCUCUCUCUGAUCACUGAUGUCCAUGUCCAUGUGGAGUCUGCUUAUUUUUCAGGGCUGUAUGGCUUGGUGGUCCCUUUGGAACAGUCCACCUGCACUAUGCUUUUGUCACUUCUUUCUUUUAAACUUUCUUGUUUUUUCCUCUUAGAUUUUGCAGCAAUAAUUGAGCCCCUUUGGUUUGUCUCUGAGGAGGGGAAACUCAAUGGCUGAUAAUUACCUUGCAUGCCAUUUAAUGAAAUUGAAGGAGCACAGUAACAUCCAUAAUCUAACUCUUCAAGCUUGUUAAGCCCUAGCUCUGCAUAUUUCCAAGUGCUAAUAUUCAGACAUAAAUGGAAAAAGGUUAAAAGGAUUCAGUGAAUUUGUAACAAAUGUGCCCUUUGUGUAUAUGAAUUCUGAAUUGUCUCUACUGGACAUGGUGUGUUGGUUAAUCUUGCUAUGAAUACCAAAAUUACCUCCUUGUUAGCAGGACUCAUUGCUGUUAUUACUGUAGCCCAGUGAAAAGGGCAUUGACUUAGGUGCUAAGAGACUCAGUUUCUCAUCACAUCAUUGCUACUGUCCUGCCAUUUGUCAUAGGACAAAUUCCUGCAUCUAUUUAUUUCUGUUUCCGUUCCCAGUUGGUGCUGUCUUGUAUAUCUAGAGUUGAAGCUCUUUGGGAUAGAGACCUCCUUUUAUACUCAGUGUCAGAUCUCAGUUAAUUUCUUAAUGAAGUAGUAACAAAUGACAAGCAGGUAAAUGUUAAAUGAAGAGAAGUUCCAUCUAAAAUUAAUGAACAACUUAAAAAUUGAGCAUACUUGGUAUGAAAUUUAAACCAGCUUUAUCAACUACAGUUUCAGCAGCCUUAGAUUAUCAGGUGCAGGAGGUGGUGCGUUCUGCAGAAGCUUCUUCUACCUUUUAAAUACAAAGCCCUUUAAUAAAUAAGCACUGAACAAAAGCA